rnacentral:rRNA from 1 species
UGAAUACGAGACGCUAAGGCGUCGAAGUAGUGUAUGUCAUACUUCCAAGAAAAGCUUGCACUGUCAUAGAUAAAAAACGCCUGUACCAUAACCGACACAGGUGGGUAGGUAGAGUAUACUAAGGGGCGCGAGAUAACUCUCUCUAAGGAACUCGGCAAAAUAACUCCGUAACUUCGGGAGAAGGAGUGCCUUAUUCUUAAGGUUGCAAUAACAAGAUCCAAGCAACUGUUUAUCAAAAACACAGGUCUCCGCUAAGUCGUAAGACGAUGUAUGGGGGCUGACGCCUGCCCAGUGCCAGAAGGUUAAAGAAGCUGGUUAGCAUUUGCAAGCUAGUAACUGAAGCCCUGGUGAACGGCGGCCGUAACAAUAACGGUCCCAAGGUAGCGAAAUUCCUUGUCGGGUAAGUUCCGACCCGCACGAAAGGCGUAAUGAUUUGGAUACUGUCUCGGAGAGGGGCUCGGUGAAAUAGACUUGUCUGUGAAGAUGCGGACUACCUGCACCAGGACUGAAAGACCCUAUGAAGCUUUACUGUAACUUGAAAUUGAAAUUGGACUUUAUUCGCGCAGUAUAGGUGGGAGGCGUUGAUUAUAAUCUUGCGGGAUUAUUGGAGCCAUUAGUGAGAUACCACUCUUGUAAUGUUAGAUUUCUAACUUUGAAUCAUUAUCUGGUCAAAGAACAGUUUCAGGCGGGCAGUUUGACUGGGGCGGUCGCCUCCUAAACGGUAACGGAGGCGUACAAAGGUUUCCUCUGAACGGUUAGAAAUCGUAUCUAGAGUGUAAAGGCAUAAGGAAGCUUGACUGUGAGACCUACAAGUCGAGCAGGGACGAAAGUCGGUCUUAGUGAUCUGACGGUACUGAGUGGAAAGGCCGUCACUCAACGGAUAAAAGUUACUCUAGGAUAACAGGCUGAUCUCCCCCAAGAGUUCACAUCGACGGGGAGGUUUGGCACCUCGAUGUCGGCUCAUCGCAUCCUGGGGCGGUAGUACGUCCCAAGGGUUGGGCUGUUCGCCCAUGAAAGCGGUACGCGAGCUGGGUUCAGAACGUCGUGAGACAGUUCGGUCCAUAUCCGGUGUAGGCGUUAGAAUAUUGAGAGGAGCCUUCUUUAGUACGAGAGGACCGAGAAGGACAUACCUCUGGUGUACCAGUUAUCGUGCCAACGGUAAACGCUGGGUAGCUAUGUAUGGAGUGGAUAACCGCUGAAAGCAUCUAAGUGGGAAGCCCACCUCAAGAUAAGUAUUCUCAC